CCGAUUAGAAUUAUCAUCAAUAUAAACUAUAAGCAUAGCAAUCUGACCAUCCAUUGCAUGCUUAAAAAUCUCGGUCUAGUCACCUUGACUUAGAGUGUAGCCCAUUCUUAAAACAGCUUCGAAUAUUCAAAGCUAGCUCGUAAGGAAUUAUUUUUAAAUUUGCAAACUUUGUAAAUCCAAAUGACUCCUCAAAAUUAGGUGGAACAUCUAUACAAACUUCUUCAAGUAAUACGGUGUCAAGGUAUGCAUUUUUGCAUCAAGUUGUUGCAAAGGCUAAUCGUAGUUAGAAGAAGAAAAAUAUUUAAUUUUGAACAAUAUUCACCACAAUACAAUCCUAAACCAUAACAACACAAUUCCAACAUCAUACCAAAAAUUUAGUUAAAUUCCAAAUUACUUCAAUAUAAACAGAACCCACAUCAUAAAUCAAAGGAAGAAGCACAAAGCAAGAAUCUUACAUGACCUAGUGAGCAACUCAGUGAUCUGCCCCAUAUAAUACUCAUUGUACUCAAGAGUCUCCCCAUAGAUAGGCUCGUGUCUAUACCAAGGAGAAACCUAAAGUCCCAACUGCACUCCAGCUUUCCUAGCAGCUUCUGUCAACUCUUUCACCACAUCACCAGCCCCAUUUCUCCAAGAGCUAGACUUCACAGAAUAAUUAGUAUACUCAGAGGGCCAAAGACAGAACCCAUCAUGGUGUUUUGUAGUUAGCGUAACUCUUGAAAAUCCAUUGUCUUUGGCCACAUGGACCCAUUGCGUGGCAUUGAAUGAAGUGGGGUUGAACACUGAUAGGUCUGCAUGCCGUGUCCCCCAUUCUCAAAGUAAAUGUAACUAUUUGGGUGUUUGGUCUUCCGAUCAGCUUGUUUAUCAAACUCAUGAGCAUUAGUAACCUGCAUAAUACAAGCGGGGAGAUAAAUAUGAGGACAUUGUUAUUGACUAAGCUAUUAAAUGUAUAUAAAUUUAGUUUUCUUGAGUCUCAGUAGGCUGAAAAUGAUUCAUUCCUUCUAUGUUUCUAUAUAAUCGUUGUCCACCUCGUUCAAAAGGAUAAAAUGUUCACUACCCAGUAUUAGAUCCGUGAAGAUCAGUUUUUUUUAUCCAUUUGCCAAUACAAGAAUUAUAUAGUUACAGCCUUAAUCACUGGCAUCUCAUAGUGUCUGACCUUUAUUAGCAUACGAGUAUUUUCUGGUCUUGUUUAAAGACGAGUAAUUUCUGGUCUCGUUUAAAGAAACUCCUUGAUUCGGAGAUCCAUGAAUUAUCAGGGCUGAAGUAAUUGAAGUAAUACCAACCUUGAUUUUUCUCCAGACAAUAUUAUUGACUAAGCUAUCAUGACUAAGCAGGUUUCUGGUCUUACAUAUAAUAUGACCAUUCCAAUUUCGUCUAUUUCAAUUGAGUUUUGAAUUAAUUUUUUGUAAUUUCAAUUUGUGUGAAGCUUUAUUGCCAAAAUGACUUACCAAAUUGGAACUUCAUUUCUAUGAUGUCCUAAUAAAAUCGUUUUCAUUGUGUUAUAAUAGAUUAUAACGUAGUAGUGUUGGUAUAUUAUCAUGGAUAAAGUUUGGGUACACUUAUCAAGGUUAUCUUAUUCUCUUAAAUUUAGAAUAUUUAAAAUAUGUAUACAAAUGCUUUUUAGACGACUUAUUUAGCAUUUUUUCAUAGAGUUUCAGAGGCAUAUCAAUGUGGUGCAAGAAAAUUUGCAAAUAUGGUGCAAGCCAUAAUGCCAUUGCAAAUGUUGCAAAAACCUAUUCCACCAACAUUUUGAUACAAUGUAUGGGCAUUUGAUCAUUAAUGGCAUGGAUCCUAUGAAUACUACUUGGGUGUUUCAUGGGGAAAAAUCGAAUACAGCGUCAUUGCCUUCUCAAGACGUAAAAAAUUUAGAGACAUAUAGGAUGUAUAGAGAUACAUUUUUUCUGGAUGACAAUAUUGUACAACUCGAGAAUGAAGAUAGAGAGAAAGACUUUUCAAAUUUAUAUGAGGGCGUAGAUAUUCCUUUAUAACCUGGUUGCACAAAGUAUACAAGGAUGUCUGCAACCGUUGUCUUAUACAAGCUUAAAGCUACGUAUGGCAUAUCUGACAACGGUUUCAAUGAACUUCUUGAUAUUAUUCAAGAUAUGCUACCACAUGGGAACACGCUUCCUAAUUUUUUCAAUUCAACAAAAAGGUUAUUGAGAACCUUUGAUUUAGGGUAUGAGAAGAUACAUGCAUGCGUAAAUGAUUGUUGUUUGUUUAGAAAUGAUCUAGAGAAUUUGGAGACAUGUCCUAAAUGUACAGCUUUGCGAUGGAAAGUCAAUGAACGGACUAAGAAGAUUAAAAAAGGGAUACCUGCAAAGGUUUCGCGAUAUUUUUCAAUUAUACCACAAUUUAGUAGAAUGUUUAGGUCACUUGAUAAGGCAGAAUAAUUAAUAUGGCACUCAAAUCACAAAAGUCUAGAUGGAAAAAUGCGUCAUCCAGUUGAUUCGUUAGCAUGGGAGAGAAUUGAUCAAAAAUGGCCUUGUUUUUCUUCAGAACCACGAAAUCUUAGACUUGGCCUUUCUUCUGAUGGAUUUAAUCCCUUUGGUGACCUAAGUUCUAGGUAUAGUUGUUGGCCAGUGAUACUAGUUAUAUAUAAUCUCCCUCCUUGGAUAUGCAUGUCUAAGGAAAAUUUAUUGUUGACUUCAUUAAUCCCAGGGCCCAAGCAACCGGGAAAUGAUAUAGAUGUGUAUCUAGAUCCACUAAUAGAAGACUUAAAGGAGAUGUGGAAUAUUGGUGUUGAAGUAUAUGAUGCAUUUACCAAGUCCACAUUCAAUUUGAAAGCUGUGUUGAUGUGGACAAUUAAUGAUCUUCUGGCUUAUGGGAACUUAUCAGGAUAUCCUACGAAAGGCGAAGCAGCAUGUCUAGUAUGUGGUUUAUCCACAUGUGCAAAAUGGUUGACAUGUAAUAGAAAGUUUUCGUACAUGGGUCACGAAAGAUUUCUUGCACAUAAUCACCCUUAUCGGUCGAAAGAAGCUUGGUUUGAUGGAAAUAAGGAGUGUAGGCCUAGUCCUAAAAUAUUAACCGGUCAAGAAGUGAUGUGUUCAAUCAAGAAUAUUAGCAAUAAUUGGGGAAAAGCUGGAAAAAAAAGACAACUAAAAAAAUCAGAUUCUAAUUGGCCUUGGAAAAAAAAAAGUCAAUAUUCUUUGAACUACCAUAUUGGGAGGUUGGUCAUUUUAAACUAUUGUGAAUUAUUUAUUUCUUUGCUUAAACUUUUUUUUUCGUAAAUUUAUGUUGUUAUUUUUCAGACACUAUUUUUGCAUCAUAAUUUGGAUGUAAUGCACAUUGAGAAGAAUGUUUGCGAAAGUAUACUUGGAACUAUUUUGCAUGUGAAGGGAAAAUCAAAAGAUGGGUUAAAUUCUCUUAAGGAUUUUAUCAAUAUGGGUAUUUGAAAGGAUCUUCAUCCACAAUUGAAAGACAAUACAUGUUACCUCGCCGCUGCAUCAUAUAUGCUAUCCAAAAAAGAGAAAGAAUUAUUUUGUAAGAGGCUAUUUGAUUCAAGAUUACCUGAUGGUUCAAAGUGUGUAUCAUUAGCAGAUAAUAGGAUUUUAAAUCUAAAAUCUCAUGAUUGCCAUGUGCUCAUACAACAAUUGCUAUCAGUUGCAUUACAAGGAGUUUUACCUAGAGGACCAAGAACUACAAUUUUUCGACUGUGCAUUUUUCAACGAAAUUUGUCAAAGAGUCAUCGAUAAAAAUAAAUUAGAAAAACUUGAGGAGGAUGUUGUUGUGAUUUUGUGUAUGCUAGAAAGGUAUUUUCCUCCAUCCUUUUUUGACAUAAUGAUUCGUUUAACCAUCCACCUUGGGCGUGAGGUUCGUAUUGGUGGACCUGUGCAAUAUCGUUGGAUGUAUCCAUUUGAGAGGUAAAUUACUAUUAUACUUUUCUAAGUAUUCAAACUAUCUUCUUCUAAUUCCUUAGAUAUCUCAUGACUAUUAUAUGAUUUAUAAGGUUUAUGAAAAUACUUAAAGGAUAUGUGAGAAAUUGUUCAAGACCUGAGGACUGCAUAGCAGAGCGUUAUUUAGCUGAUGAAUGUAUGCAUUUUUGUAGUGUUUACAUGAAACAAGCAGCUGAAGUAGGUGUUCGACAUACUCGAAAUGAGGAUUUUGAGAAUGAAACAAUUAUUGAUGGACGUCCAAUUUCUGAAGGAAAGUCAAAGAUUUUGAGUCCAGAAAUGUUGAGGGUCGCUAAUCGUUAUGCGCUGUUUAAUAGCGUUGCAGUUGAGCCAUAUAUAAUGUAAUGAAGUUAGUUAAUUUAUUAGUUUAACAUUGAAUUCUCAUAAACUUCUCUUACUAUUUGUUUAUUUUAUUUUCAUUUAAGAUGCAUAAAGAGGAGAUUAAGAAUUCAGAUAGCCGUAUUGCCAAGAAUGAAUCCUUAUUGCAAAUGAGACAUAUGGAGACUUUCACUUCAUGGUUAGCGGAGAAAGGCAAACAAGACAAUUGUAACAUGUCUAAUACAUUGAAAUGGCUUUCACGCCGGCCUAGAUAUGAUGUGAUAUCACAUUCUGGUUAUGUUAUGAAUGGACAUUGAUUUCAUACAACCGGUGUUUCUAUUGAAGCACAAACUAUUUGUCGAUCUAGCGUGAAGGAUAUAAGCCAUGUAGUUGGUAAAAUAUCUUAUUAUGGGGUUAUCAGAGACAUAAUUUUACUAAAUUAUCAUAGUUUUAAAGUUCCUUUGUUUCAUUGUGAUUGGGCAAAUAUAGAUAGUGGAGUCAAGAUUGAAGAAGGAUUUACAUUAGUAAAUCUUCAUAGAGGACAAUAUCAAUUUGAAAGAGAUCCAUUUAUUUUAGCAUCACAAGUAAAACAAGUUUUUUAUUCUAGAGAGAACGAUUCAUCUAGUUGGUAUAUUGUAUUAAAGGCACCUGCAAGAGGAUUUCAUGAGUUAGAAAAUUAUGAUGAGGAGGCUUAUACUCCAUCCACAUUAGAUACAUUAAGACUUGAUACGAUCGUUGAAGAUGAAAGUUAUAUAAGACAUGAUUGUGAGGGCAUUGAUAUUGAAUAUGGUAAUUGUAUAUCUUUAAUAUUCGUUCUUGCUCUGUUUUAAUUUACUAUUUAUGUGAUAUCGUAUUGAUGCUAAUGUCUGUAAUGUCUCUAGUUUGAUUAUGUCUUGCUUUAUUUUUGUGGAUAUAAACGACCAAAGCUGAGUUUUGUAGAUGUGAAUGUUCGUACGAGUGGACAAAAGAUGACAAACACUGGUGAAGUAAGUUUCCAGAUUGUACAUAUAAUAAUUAUUAAUGAUUAAAAAGUAAAUUAAAGUAAUACAUUGCUUGUUUUUCUUAUUUGUUUAAUGCAGUUAUCUAAUCAAGGCUAUAAAAAAGCAAAACGAGCUAAAAAAGCUUCAAAAGUUACUGCUACAAGAGAAGGGAAUGAAGGGAUAAGAAUAUCAAAGGAGGUUCUAAUUCUAUUCCAAACACACAAGAAAAUGAGGUGCAACAUGAUGUAGAAGUGUUACCGAAUAAUGCUAGUGCUACUGGAGAAGGAAAAAAGGGAAGGGGUUGAGCAAAAUUGAAUUAUCUCAACAAGGGAAAAUGUGCAAAAGUAACAGUAGAGUUUACCGAAAGAGGGCAGCCAAUUUGUAAAGGUUCAACUAAGUUAUCAUCAUUUAUUGGGACCACAACUAGAGAACUUAUACCAAUUACAUGGAAAAAUUGGAAAGAUAUCAGCGAAAGUCUUCUUGAUGACAUAUGGGAGCUUGUGCAGGUAAUAUAUACUCCACGUUUCUUAUAUAAUUUAAAUUAAUUUACUAUUAAUAUUGUCUACGUUGAUGCAGCAAAAGUUUGAUGUUGAUGCUUGUCAUAGAAAAUACAUAAUGCAAAAAAAGGGAAAGAAUUGGCGAGAUCAUCAAUCUAAUGUGCUUAAAGCAAUCAAUGACAGAGGGAAAACAAUUGGCAUGACACGAGCUGCUGCUCUCCUCAAGCCCGAUAAUGUUGAAUCAAUGGAAAAAUGGCGAGCAUUUGUCAAAGAACGCAAUUCGCAACCGUAUCAGGUACUAAUAACUACAUUACUUACUGCAUCUGCUCUACAUUCCUAAUAAAAGUUUUGCUUACACAGUACUAAUUAAUUUUGUAGGAAAUGAGUGAAAGAUUCAAAAAGAUGAGAGCAAAUCAAAAUAUAAUGCAUACAGCAAGUAGAAAGGGCUUUGCUCGUUUAGAAGUUGAAAUGGUAAAAAAUUUUGCUAAAUUCAAAGUUAAAUUUGCUUGAAAAAUUAAAAACAUAUACGUUAUCACAUAUAUGAAAUAUGUAAAGCCCAGCGUGCCGAAAGUGAAGACCCAGAUUCCAUAACAAGAGAUGAUGUUUAUAUUCGAGGACAUACGCGAAGAAAUGGUUUGCCUAUUAAUGAAUCAGCUGGGUAAAUAUUGGUAACAAUAUUGCUUUUAGUAAUGUCUGAUAACUCAAAGCUUAUAUUUAUAAUUGUAGCCUAUUAAUUUAUUUCCCCAUAUUUGAACAAAAUAAAAGCGUGUUCAGAGAUGAUUACCUCUCCGGACCAACACUCCCUCAAAGAUGAUGGUGUUGCUAGAGUUGUUGGUCCAGAACGUUGCGGACGAUUAAGAGGUCUUGGUUUCAGUGCGACUCCUUCAAAAUUGAAUGCUUUGGUGCAUAAUUAUAACUUGCAAACUCAAGUCCAAGAAUUGAGAGAUGAAAUUAAAGAAUUCAAAGCUUUGUUUCAAAUGAAGAGUAAGAUUGUUGUACAAGAAGAUGACGUAAGUAAAAAAGGCUGAAUGUUAUUCUAAAUUACAUAUACUUUCUAUAUUCAAAAUAAUAAAUUGUACAAUUGCAUAUGAAUUUUAUAGCUUAGAGACAGAAGCUUGAAUGGUUCAGAUAACCUUCAAAAUAAGAAAUGCAAAUUGUUAUCUUGGUUUGGGAAAGCUGAUAUUGUUGCAAAAGGUGAAAUCGCAUCAACAAAUCCAAGUGAUUUAGUGCAUCAUGUACCACUUGGUAAUGAAUGUUUGAGAGCUUGGGUUAAUGAAGUGAUUGAUAACAUCAGUUUAUAUCGUCCUACACGUGAGCUUUUUCUUCUUGAAGAUGCAUUAGGAAGUACAAUAGCAUGGCCCAUUAGGUACAUCGAAGUGGAUUCGUUGUAAUCACAACAAAGGUAUGCUUGACUUCUUUUCUAUUUUAAUUCCAUUUACAUUUACAUUGAAUCUCAAUUGAAGACUAGGUUGCUUAAAAUCAAGAAGUUGAUGGGCGGUUGAUUCGAU
rnacentral:lncRNA from 1 species